rnacentral:rRNA from 1 species
UACGUAGGGGGCAAGCGUUGUUCGGAUUCAUUGGGCGUAAAGGGUGCGUAAGUGGCGCGCUAAGUCAGGUGUGAAAUUUCGGAGCUUAACUCCGAAACUGCAUUUGAUACUGGCGUGCUUGAGGACUGGAGAGGAGACUGGAAUUUACGGUGUAGCAGUGAAAUGCGUAGAGAUCGUAAGGAAGACCAGUGGCGAAGGCGGGUCUCUGGACAGUUCCUGACACUGAGGCACGAAGGCCAGGGGAGCAAACGGG